rnacentral:rRNA from 1 species
UACGAAGGGGGCUAGCGUUGCUCGGAAUUACUGGGCGUAAAGCGCACGUAGGCGGCUUCUUAAGUCGGUGGUGAAAUCCUGGAGCUCAACUCCAGAACUGCCUUCGAUAACUGGGAAGCUCGAGUUCGGGAGAGGUGAGUGGGAACUGCGAGUGUAGAGGUGAAAUUCGUAGAUAUUCGCAAGAACACCAGUGGCGAAGGCGGCCAACUGGUCCGGUACUGACGCUGAGGUGCGGAAAGCGUGGGGAGCAAACAGGG